GACGAACGCUGGCGGCGUGCCUAAUACAUGCAAGUAGAACGCUGAAGGAGGAGCUUGCUUCUCUGGAUGAGUUGCGAACGGGUGAGUAACGCGUAGGUAACCUGCCUGGUAGCGGGGGAUAACUUUUGGAAACUAUAGCUAAUACCGCAUAAUAGCAGUUGUUGCAUGACAACUGUUUGAAAGGUGCAAUUGCACCACUACUAGAUGGACCUUCGUUGUAUUAGCUAGUUGGUGGGGUAACGGCUCACCAAGGCGACGAUACAUAGCCGACCUGAGAGGGUGAACGGCCACACUGGGACGGGGACACGGCCCAGAAGGCUACGGGAGGCAGCAGUAGGGAAACGUCGGCAAGGGACGGAAGUCAGACCGAGAAACGCCGGGUGAGUGAAGAAGGUUGUCGGAUCGGAAAGCUCUGUUGUAAGGGAAGAAAGAGUGUGAGAGUGGAAAGUUCACACUGUGACGGUAUCUUAACAGAAAGGGACGGCUAACUACGUG
rnacentral:rRNA from 1 species